UGAUCACAAUUGUUAGUCUAUUAAGUUUCUUCUUUCCUUUCAAUCAUGACUCUUCUUUUCGUUGUUGUCGUUGUUUGUUUUUCAUUUCUUCUCUUCACCGAAAAGAGAGAGGCGACCACAACUGAACCUCUUCCUUCUCUACACAGUAGAUCGACAUGCAUGGACACAUGCAUAUAUUUCAUUCUUCUCAAUGGACACUAUUUUAGAGUUCAACUUAAAACACUGUAGGUAACUGUCUGAUUGACCUCUCAUCUUUAUAUUAUAUGCUUUUCUAGGGAAAGGAAAAAGAGAACUUUCACCGGGAUCGAAAAGGAUUACCUUCGACUUCGAACAAGAGUUUCGAGGAAUCAUAUGGUAUUAUGAACCGACGUCCCGCAGGCCGACCGCGAAGGCCUAUACCAUUGGCGGGGCGGGAAUUUUCAGUUAAAACAAUCAAAGUUUAAAAAAGAACACCUCAUACUAAAACAAUCAACUGAUACUUAAUACCAUAAAUCGACCAAGACUUAACUGCUAUAUAAUCAUUAUUUAAAAUCAUCAAAUAAGAGUAGCCAAUACUUUAUCAUAAAAUAUGAUUCCUCGAAGGUCUUGGUCGAAGUCGAAGGUCUUCCUUCUCGAUCCCGGUGGCAGUUCUAUUUUUCCUUUCCCAAAAUAAGCAUGCAAUCAAAAUUUUAGAAGUCAAUUCGACAGUUACAUGCAGAGUUUUAAGUUUAACUCUAAAAUCAUGUUCACUGAAACGAACGAAAAAAAAUAAUAUAUAUAUGUGUGUGUGUCCAUGCAUGUCAAUUUACUGUGUAGAGAUCUGCGGUCGUCACUUGUCAGUGAAGAGGACAAAUAAAUAACAAACGUUAGACCAAAAAAUAAAUAACAAACGAAGACAACAACAAGAAAAAGAGUCGUGAUUGAAAGGGAAGAAGAAAUUUAGAAAACUAAAAGUUGUGAUCAAAAUGAAGAAGAAGAAAAGUAAGCGAAGAACAUUUUCAAUCGCCAGACUCGUCGCUCUACUUCUCCUCGGUGAAAGUGAAACCGAAGAGACAGAACCAAGAAAGAGGAUUCUCGGUGCAAGUAACACAAUCCGACAAGAACCCAUUUUCCCGCAAAUCAAGUUCGGCCUAGCCCAAUACCGUGGGGAUCACACCCGCAAGACCCACAAAUAAUGGGCCUCGAUUUUUCCUGACCAGUUCCACCCUGCCAGAAGUGUUAAUGGGCCAGGGUCUGCGGAACAGAUCACAUAUUGUCAUCUCUAUACUACAUGAACCUAUAUUAAACGACUAACAAUGUUUAUAUAUUAACUAAAUGUUUUAAACUUAAUAUUUUUUUAAACUGGACAUUUUUAUUUGAACACAAUUUAUAAAGUGAAUAUAUUAAUCCGAUAUUUUAAAUUACCAGAAAACAAAACUGAAAAACCAAACUAAUUUGAAAUUGCAUAGAUAUCUAACAAUUUUUAUGUAUUUGAAAUGCUUGUUAUUUUACAUUAAUCAAAUAUUUAUAAUGAAUUGUAAUUUUGUUGCCAAUCAAAAUUUUUUUAUACUUUCUAUUCUACAAAAACUACAUUUAUACCGCUAUUAUAUCAUACAACACUUUCGUUCGGCUUUUCUUAAAUCAUCAAUGUAUAGUCACCAUUUAGAUCCACAGUGAGAGAAGUUGGAGUGGUUUUAAGCAUUUAAAUGCUUCCAAUGUCACUUGGUCGAAUCUCAUGAUUUGUUUUUGUAUUUUUAUGGUUUUAAAAAUAUAAUAGACCAAUUUUUUUUUUAAUUCUUUUUUUUUAACACUGGAUAAUUAUGCUAUUACAAUUCUAUAGCCGACAAUUUUACCUGCCGUAUGAGGAUUCACGCAUGUCUGCAUCACCUGAGUCGCCCUAUGGGAUCCACGCUUGACGAUACUCAUUGCGCCAUGCUGCAUAUCUUUUGUAAACCUUUUUUCUCCCUUAAUUCACAUAAUUCCGCCUUCUCCGCGAAUUGAAACCAGACCUCCUGGUGUAGAAGCAUUAAUGAACAUUUGGUCAAACUACUGGACCAAGGAAACUUCCACAGAAAAAAAAAAAAUCUGGAACCGACUCUAAUUGUACCAACGUUUCAUAUUUCAAACCUAGAUCUAGCUAGAUUGACACAAGGAGAACGAAGAGGGUACAAAUCUAAUAGCAACGACAUAAAAUCUAGAACAAGAAUCGUAACUGGCAGACACGGUUUUUGGUAGGCAUGAACAUUCAUGGACCAAUCGGUUUGCGGUUCGAAUUCGAUAAGGUUUCGGGUUUAUAAAUUUCAACCCCAUUCGGAUAUUAUAAAAGUACGAUACAUAUUCAGUACAGGUUAGUCGGUCCGGUUUGGAUUUAAUAACAUCUCUAAAGACCGGUUUGAACCCGAUAUAAAUUCAGAUUUCAGAUCUUUAUUAGGUUUUUGGUUCCAAAAUAUAGAUAUGUGUUUAGUUAUACCUGAAAUUCAAAUAAAGAUCCAAUAAAACAAAGAUCAAAACCAAAAAAAAUUAAAUAAGAAAUGAGAAAUGCUCUUGUGACGACUCUCUUUGUAUAUAUUUCAGGUAUUUUGAACAACUUAUAAGAGAAAUGUAUUUUUUAGAUUUUUGUAUAUUAAAUAUAAAAAAAUCUAUUUAUUUAUAUAAUUUUGAUUGGAAUUUUUUCGGGUACUUAAAAUAUUUUGGUUCGGUUUGGGUUUUUUAAAUAGUAAAAUUUUUAACCUGUUUGAAUAGUUAAUCAGCUUUGGUACCGGAUUUGAAUAUUUUGCCCGGCCCAAAUUUUUGGAGUGCACCGAAAUUGUAUUUACAGUGAAUCCAUUUUUUUUUGCAAUUUUAGUUACAAUUUAAUGUUUUUCAAAUAUUUAUAACCCAUUUUGCAAAUUAUUUUAUUAUUCUUAUAUAUAUAAAACAUGCACAAGGUCCACCAACAGAAUGAGCCAGGCCUGCUAAUUAGUAACUUUCUUUAGGGUCAUCUUCAUCGAUAAUGAGAUGAUCUACCUGUUCAUUAGCAACCAACAUAUGAUCUCCGCGAGUUCCCACUUUCCAAUUUUGCAUAAUCCAACCAAGAACCCUACAGUUAUUUCUCAAAUUCUUGGGCCGAGAAUUCAAGACAUAAGGUCCACCAAGUAUAACUUUACAAACAUAUUUGAUUGUUUUCUUACGAUAUCUAACACUAUUAAAAGGAGAAUAUAAAGCCUUCUAAGCUAUGCCACGUAAGAUUAAAAAAUCCACCAAUCAAAACAUGGCAGCUGCUAACAUAGUGACACGUUUCCUCUCUACAGCUUAAUCGUCUCGACUUCCUACGGUUCUCUGGAAAAUAGAAAUUGUUAUGAAAAUCCUGCAUAAUAAAGUCUCGAUCUUAAUCAGGUUUCUUCAACUUCUCUCUUUUGCAAUCUCCAAAAAAUAUCCCGACAAGCUUGUGUUUGUUCAUCCUCUUCAAAAGUUUGCUUAAUUGUUUGAAAUCAGUCUUCACCUGAUGAUUACCGGUGUACCGGUUAUGAGUUAAGCGUUCCUAUUGGAAAGGAUGAUGAGGUAGACGGAUUAUACUCGGUUGAUUGAAAAGUGGUUCAGUAGGGUUUGGCGAUUAGGCGGUCAAACAAAGGAUUACUUCUGGAUCAAUUUGAGCAAUCUCAAUUUUAAUUAACUGGAGAUGUAAGAUCUUCGAUCAUGGGCGUCGGUUUAGGCGAAGGAGAGCUCAUAUGGUUAUCGGUGCUUUAAAGCUUUGUUAAAACGAAGAAGAAGAAUGGAUUGAAACUAAACGGAGAUGGAGAUUCCGGCGCAGCACACGGCGGAGAAGAAUCGUGGAACGUGAUAGUCGAGGAAGCUCUUCAUGAAAGGCACGUCGCGGGCCAAGCAGUUUCCUUCGUCUUCCGCCAUCUCGGCGCUAAUCAGUAAGGAUUCGAUCAGUGUGAAGAAACGAAGCAUUGGAUUUGGGGUCAGCAGGUGUGCAAGCUUCUAUGUGCCUCCCCUAAUCAAUCAGGUUCCAUCUCUUUUUUUUUCUCUCUCUCUCAAUAUCAUGCAUCUCCCCUUAUGAAAUUGUAUGAUGCAUUGCAUUUGUCGGAGCUGUUUAGUAGGUUCGGAGGUGCAGACACAAGGUAAGAUUAUUCCAACUCUCUCGAAACUGCUCAGAUGCUUAGAAUAGACCACAUAAGCUUCUAUUUAUUGUUAUCUUUAUUUGAUCCAUGUCUUCUUAAGAGAUCUCGAACUGGAUUAUGUAUGAAGACGUUGGUCUUCUAGGAUUUCGUGUGAGAUUACUUGAAAUCAAUCAAGUAUUUGAAUCAAUCCGUCAAGCUUUUCACCACCAGGUUCAUAUCUUUCUCCCUCACGACUCCCAUUUAAUCUUAACCCAAUCUUUUUUUCAUGCUUUCAUUGGAGCUGUUUGGUACAUGUGUGGUUGUGGAGCUGCAGAAACUGGAUACAAAUUAUUCUGAGUCUCUCAGAUGCUUAGUACAGCCACGUAAUCUUUCCUUCCCUUCCCCCUAUCUUAUUUUGUUAUAAUUGCUAAGGUAAGAGCUUAAUAAUGUAUAGAAUGUGAUUAUUAUCUUAUAUAAGUUGCAGGUAUGGAUUCUGUAAAAUCAGUAUAUGAAAUUCAUUGUAUAAAUUAUUUUUUCACGUGCAAAAGGUCAAGUGGAAUCUGUGAUUCCUUCGGAAUAUAUGUCUCCCCCAUCUUCCCCAUUCCGUAAGACCCUCUUUCCUCUGUUUUGACCUUUCCUCACAAAAGCUUCUGAACUUUUGUACAAAGUUGGAUAAUUGGUCACUUCACAGAGUCUGCAGAAGCUACUGCACAGAAAAACUGAAGCAUUCCUUUCAAAUGACUACUAUGAGUCAGACAUUGCAUGGAUGGACUUGGCUUCAUUUGAAUCCGAGAUGAUAAAGCCACAACUGAUCUGAAACUCUUUGGUGUCAAUCUAAAGCUAUUGGAAGACAAUCUCCCGCUUAACAGAGUGUACAAAUUAAAAGAUGUGUCUGCUGCUCCAAUUCGUUUUUUUCAGUGACAUGAAGGAGUUGUUGGUCGGAUUUCACUGAGUAUCAAAAUGAAGCUCCAAAAGCAGAAGUUACACGAUGAAGAAUAGCUCCAAAAGCAGAAGUUACACGAUGAAGAAUCUGGAGCUGAGAAAACUGAAUAUUAGUAGCUGCGGACAAGCCGGACGAGUCUUAUGACUGAGGACAGGAGUUUACAAACGACGUAAUAACUUUGAGGAUAUGAGUAUACAUAAAAGACACUAAAAGAGAUUGCGGAUAGAAAGCUUGGGAACACCAAGAAGCCAUAAAAUGAAAACAAGACAAAACAUUAUUAUAUGGAGUAAGCUUCUCACUACAAUAAGUUAAUUCUUAUAGUACACAAGUGCUGCUUUUAUUCUUUUCGAAAGAGCACCUACCUUUUAUAUUUAAUAGUUUCCUACAAAAUAUAGAAAAGACUAAAUCAUUAUUCAUUUUUUAUUGAUUUACUUUCCUGUAAACCAAAUUUUCCACCAUGAAAAAAAUGUAAAUGAUUAUAAUAAUGAUUAAAAAUAUACGUUAUUUCUUC